CACAUGCAAGUCGAGGGGUAGAAAUAGCUUGCUAUUUUGAGACCGGCGCACGGGUGCGUAACGCGUAUGCAAUCUGCCUUGUACUGGGGGAUAGCCCGGAGAAAUCCGGAUUAAUACCCCAUAGUAUAUAAGAGUGGCAUCAUUUUUAUAUUAAAGAAUUUCGGUACAAGAUGAGCAUGCGUCCCAUUAGCUAGUUGGUAUGGUAACGGCAUACCAAGGCUUUGAUGGGUAGGGGUCCUGAGAGGGAGAUCCCCCACACUGGUACUGAGACACGGACCAGACUCCUACGGGAGGCAGCAGUGAGGAAUAUUGGUCAAUGGACGCAAGUCUGAACCAGCCAUGCCGCGUGCAGGAUGACGGUCCUAUGGAUUGUAAACUGCUUUUGUACGGGAAGAAACGACUCUACGUGUAGAGUUUUGACGGUACCGUAAGAAUAAGGAUCGGCUAACUCCGUGCCAGCAGCCGCGGUAAUACGGAGGAUCCAAGCGUUAUCCGGAAUCAUUGGGUUUAAAGGGUCCGUAGGCGGUUUUAUAAGUCAGUGGUGAAAUCCGGCAGCUCAACUGUCGAACUGCCAUUGAUACUGUAGAACUUGAAUUAUUGUGAAGUAACUAGAAUAUGUAGUGUAGCGGUGAAAUGCUUAGAUAUUACAUGGAAUACCAAUUGCGAAGGCAGGUUACUAACAAUAGAUUGACGCUGAUGGACGAAAGCGUGGGGAGCGAACAGGAUUAGAUACCCUGGUAGUCCACGCCGUAAACGAUGGAUACUAGCUGUUCGGAAGCAAUUCUGAGUGGCUAAGCGAAAGUGAUAAGUAUCCCACCUGGGGAGUACGAACGCAAGUUUGAAACUCAAAGGAAUUGACGGGGGCCCGCACAAGCGGUGGAGCAUGUGGUUUAAUUCGAUGAUACGCGAGGAACCUUACCAGGGCUUAAAUGUAGAGUGACAGGACUGGAAACAGUUUUUUCUUCGGACACUUUACAAGGUGCUGCAUGGUUGUCGUCAGCUCGUGCCGUGAGGUGUCAGGUUAAGUCCUAUAACGAGCGCAACCCCUGUUGUUAGUUGCCAUCGAGUAAUGUCGGGAACUCUAACAAGACUGCCGGUGCAAACCGSGNGGAAGGKGGGGAUGACGUCAAAUCAUCMCGGCCCUUACGUCCUGGGCUA
rnacentral:rRNA from 1 species